rnacentral:rRNA from 1 species
AUAAUGGGUCAGCGACUUAUAUUCUGUAGCAAGGUUAACCGAAUAGGGGAGCCGAAGGGAAACCGAGUCUUAACUGGGCGUUAAGUUGCAGGGUAUAGACCCGAAACCCGGUGAUCUAGCCAUGGGCAGGUUGAAGGUUGGGUAACACUAACUGGAGGACCGAACCGACUAAUGUUGAAAAAUUAGCGGAUGACUUGUGGCUGGGGGUGAAAGGCCAAUCAAACCGGGAGAUAGCUGGUUCUCCCCGAAAGCUAUUUAGGUAGCGCCUCGUGAAUUCAUCUCCGGGGGUAGAGCACUGUUUCGGCAAGGGGGUCAUCCCGACUUACCAACCCGAUGCAAACUGCGAAUACCGGAGAAUGUUAUCACGGGAGACACACGGCGGGUGCUAACGUCCGUCGUGAAGAGGGAAACAACCCAGACCGCCAGCUAAGGUCCCAAAGUCAUGGUUAAGUGGGAAACGAUGUGGGAAGGCCCAGACAGCCAGGAUGUUGGCUUAGAAGCAGCCAUCAUUUAAAGAAAGCGUAAUAGCUCACUGGUCGAGUCGGCCUGCGCGGAAGAUGUAACGGGGCUAAACCAUGCACCGAAGCUGCGGCAGCGACGCUUAUGCGUUGUUGGGUAGGGGAGCGUUCUGUAAGCCUGCGAAGGUGUGCUGUGAGG